rnacentral:rRNA from 1 species
AUUGAACGCUGGCGGCAGGCCUAACACAUGCAAGUCGAGCGAGCGUCGGCCGGGUGAGUAAUGCCUGGGAAUUGCCCAGUCGAGGGGUAUAACAGUUGGAAACGACUGCUAAUACCGCAUAGUAUUGGAUUGCCCAGGUGGGAUUAGCUAGUUGGUGAGGUAAUGGCUCACCAAGGCGACGAGCCCUAGCUGGUCUGAGAGGAUGAUCAGCAACACUGGAAAUGAGACACGGUCCGGACUCCUACGGGGGGAAGCAGUGAAAAAUAUUGCGCAAUGGGGGAAACCCUGAUGCGAACAUGCGGCAUGUGUGAAGAAGAACUUCGGGUUGUAAAGCACUUUCAGCGAGGAGGCGUUACUCGCAGAAGAAGCACCGGCUAACUCCGUGCCAGCCGCCGCGGUAAUAC